CAAGGCCAUGGGCAUCAUGAACUCC
rnacentral:piRNA from 1 species